UUCUGCAUCAAUUCUGUAUUGCGGAAAAAGAUAAAUAUGGACAUUGUCCUUCUGCACCACAUGUCCAAUAUUACACAACACAUGGUUCAGAUCCACUGUUUAUACUUUAUGUAUGUGUCUGUUAUGUUCCAAGAUAUUUAAGGCCUGACAAUUUCAGAAAAUUCUAGAAGAGAAGGAGAUGGCAGAUGCGGCAAAACAUAUUUGGAUUAUGCGAACACAUGAAGAAGCUUCAAGUCAUUGGAAUGAGACUUUUGGGCAUUUGGAGAAUCCAAAUUGUUAGAAGGUACAGUUUCAUUCGUUCCAUUCUUGAUGGAGAUUUUUUACUUCCAAGAAACUUGAUGUCUGCUAGAGCCUAGAUGUCUGCAAAUUAUUCUGCCGGAUAGAAAAAGCUUUUUGUCAUAGCAUACCUUGAACACUUGAGCAAACUUUGAGUUAGACCUCAAUCUCCAAAGAAGCGUACCUCGAAAGAUGGAUAUAUGUUUUAAGGUCAUUUACUGGAUUGUGGAUGUAUUUCGUUGAUUGGUAACAACAGCUAAAUAAAAUCUUACAUCUAUUAAGGAGCUUAUUAUUGAUAAUGUUCGAGAUAUUAGAGAUAUACCAGUGUUUUCUUGUAGCAAUCAAAUAGUUGGAUCUUAAGACUUUGAUUUAACUCUAUGAGAUGCUAACUUGAAAGGCUGAAAAAAGUGUAAAAAAACCUAAAAUUUCCAAAAUAAAAGAGAGAAGAGAUAUGUUGGAACAAUAGAGAACUUAUAGGAUGACUAUAAUGAGAUGAUGAGAUUCCAAAGUGAAGUGGCCACAUGCUUCAUCAUGAAUUUUAGGGGAGUUUCACCAAAAGCAUUCAUCUAAAGAUAGGUGUAUUGUGUUGAUGAGCAUAGAUAGACUUUCGAAACAACCAAUAACCCCAUUUAAUUUAUCACAUCUUUUACCCAACUUGGGGAGACUAAGGUCGUGCAUAGGGUGCAAAAGAACAUCAAUUAGUUGGCUUACUAAAUUAGUUUGAUCUACAUUCAAGAAAAGUCUGAUUUUUGUUUUGUUUCCAACUCAAAAAAGAA
rnacentral:lncRNA from 1 species